AUUGAACGCUAGCGGGAUGCCUUACACAUGCAAGUCGAACGGAGUGGCGAACGGGUGAGUAAUGUAUCGGAACGUGCCCAGUAGCGGGGGAUAACUACGCGAAAGCGUAGCUAAUACCGCAUACUAUUGGAGCUGCCGAUAUCGGAUUAGCUAGUUGGUGGGGUAACGGCUAACCAAGGCGACGAUCCGUAGCUGGUUUGAGAGGACGACCAUACACACUGGAACUGAGACACGGCCCAGAAUCCUACGGGAGGCAGCAGUGGGGAAUUGUGGACAAUGGGCGAAACCCUGAUCCAGCCAUGCCGGGUGGGCGAUGAAGUCCUGCGGGUUGUAAAGCACAUUUGGCAGUAAGGCGGUACCUGCAGAAUAAGCACCGGCUAACGACGUGCCAGCAGCCGCGGUAAUAC
rnacentral:rRNA from 1 species